GUCUUUUUGAUUAAUAAUUUAAAGUCUAAUCUGCCCACUGAUAAUAUAUUAAAGGGCUGCAGUAUUUUGACUGUACAAAGGUAGCAUAAUCAUUAGUCUCUUAAUUGGUGACUUGUAUGAAGGAUUUGAUGAAAUAUAUACUGUCUCUUUUUGAUUUAUAAAAUUUAAUUUUUUGGUUAAAAAGCUAAAAUUUAUUUAAAAGACGAGAAGACCCUAUAGAGUUUUAUAUUUAUAUAAAUUAAAAUUUUUUAUAAGAUUUAAAAUUUCAAUUUAUAUAAAUAUUUUAUUGGGGUGAUAGAAAAAUUAAAAUAACUUUUUUUAUAAUUUUACAUUAAUAAAUGAAUAAAUGAUCCGUAAUUUACGAUUAUAAGAUAAAAUUACCUUAGGGAUAACAGCGUAAUUUUUUUUUUUAGUUCAAAUAAGAAAAAGAGUUUGCGACCUCGAUGUUGGAUUAAGAUAAAAUUUAAAUGCAAAAGUUUAAAAUUUUUGAUCUGUUCGAUCAUUAAAAUCUUACA
rnacentral:rRNA from 1 species